rnacentral:rRNA from 1 species
AACGAUGGCUAAUACCGCAUGAUGCUACGGGCCAAAGAGGGGACCUUCGGGCCUCUCGCGUCAGGAUAUGCCCUAGGUGGGAUUAGCUAGUUGGUGAGGUAAGGGCUCACCAAGGGCGACGAUCCCUAGCUGGUCUGAGAGGAUGAUCAGCCACACUGGAACUGAGACACGGUCCAGACUCCUACGGGAGGCAGCAGUGGGGAAUAUUGCACAAUGGGCGCAAGCCUGAUGCAGCCAUGCCGCGUGUGUGAAGAAGGCCUUCGGGUUGUAAAGCACUUUCAGUCGUGAGGAAGGUAGUGUAGUUAAUAGCUGCAUUAUUUGACGUUAGCGACAGAAGAAGCACCGGCUAACUCCGUGCCAGCAGCCGCGGUAAUACGGAGGGUGCGAGCGUUAAUCGGAAUUACUGGGCGUAAAGCGCAUGCAGGUGGUUUGUUAAGUCAGAUGUGAAAGCCCGGGGCUCAACCUCGGAAUUGCAUUUGAAACUGGCAGACUAGAGUACUGUAGAGGGGGGUAGAAUUUCAGGUGUAGCGGUGAAAUGCGUAGAGAUCUGAAGGAAUACCGGUGGCGAAGGCGGCCCCCUGGACAGAUACUGACACUCAGAUGCGAAAGCGUGGGGAGCAAACAGGAUUAGAUACCCUGGUAGUCCACGCCGUAAACGAUGUCUACUUGGAGGUUGUGGCCUUGAGCCGUGGCUUUCGGAGCUAACGCGUUAAGUAGACCGCCUGGGGAGUACGGUCGCAAGAUUAAAACUCAAAUGAAUUGACGGGGGCCCGCACAAGCGGUGGAGCAUGUGGUUUAAUUCGAUGCAACGCGAAGAACCUUACCUACUCUUGACAUCCAGAGAACUUUCCAGAGAUGGAUUGGUGCCUUCGGGAACUCUGAGACAGGUGCUGCAUGGCUGUCGUCAG